rnacentral:rRNA from 1 species
AUUGAACGCUGGCGGCAGGCCUAACACAUGCAAGUCGAACGCGUGGCGGGCGGGUGAGAAAUGUCUGGGAAACUGCGCGAUGGAGGGGGAUAUCUCCAGGGGACGGUGUCUCUAACACCAUACCAUCGGAUGUGUCCCGAUGGGAUUAGAGUUUAGGGGAGGUAACGGAUCACCUAGGGGACGCUCCCUAGCUGGUCUGAGAGGAUGACAAGCCACACGGGAACUGAUACACGGUCCAGACACCUACGGGAGGCAGCAGUGGGGAAUAUUGCACAAUGGGCGAAAGCCUGAUGCAGACAUGCCGCGGGGAUGAAGAAGGCCUUCGGGUUGUAAAGUACUUUCAGCGGGGAGGCGUUACCCGCAGAAGAAGCACCGGCUAACUCCGUGCCAGCAGCCGCGGUAAUAC